rnacentral:lncRNA from 1 species
CACAGGGUCUCAGGGGAUGUGAGGCAGACCAGCUCUAAACGGCUAAAAAUCUGCUGAUUGGAGUUAUGUUUAAAAUAAGUGGAUGGGAGUUCCCGUCGUGGCACAGCGGUUAACAAAUCUGACUAGGAACCAUGAGGUUGCGGGUUCGGUCCCUGCCCUUGCUCAGUGGGUUAACAAUCUGGCGUUGCCAUGAGCUGUGGUGUAGGUCGCAGACGUGGCUCGGAUCCCAUGUUGCUGUGGCUCUGGCGUAGGCUGGCAGCUACAGCUCCAAUUAGACCCCUAGCCUGGGAACCUCCAUAUGCCGUGGGAGCGGCCCAAGAAAUGGCAAAAAGACCAAAAAAAAUAAAAAACUAAAAUAAAAUAAAAUAAAAUAAAAUAAGUGGAUGGAUAAAUUUUUGAAUUUGGUUCCAGCAGACUUGGAAGCUAGGAUGUCUCAGCUGCUGAGAAGAAAUAAUUCGAAGCUGACAUACCUGGGCCACCUGUGGCUCAUUCAUGUAACAGGGAGGCAUGGCUGCUGGCAAGAAGACAAAAGGUCAUUUUGGUCAUAUGCCAUUUCCUAAGCCACCUACUGACAAGAAGAGAAUCUGAGUGACGGAGACAAGUGAACAUUCACCCCCGAUCCUGACGCUGGGACAGGCCCUCCAUGAAGCAUAUGAGUUCCAGGGCAGUGGGAAUCCCUGGACAAAAAUCAGAGUCUGUGAGCAGAGAACCAAUGCAAUCUGGUUCCCACUGUCACUGUGAUGAAUGCCUUUCAAUACAAGCAGCCCUCUCUGCUUGGUUCUGAUAAGCAGGAAGUUCAGUUACCAUGAUUUAGGUGGAAAAACCUCCAGUUCUCACACUGACGAUUCAAAUUUCUGUUACCGUGGUGUAUUAACAAUGAGUAAUUGCAAAAAGCACAACCUUCACAGGUAGCUCCUCUGGGUGCUAAGUAAGUACCAGGUGUGCUUUAUAAUCAGGGGCCAUCACAUCCCCACUGACUUCAAAGAUCAUGAUCUCUCUGAACUUGUACCACCAUUCUUUUUUUUUUUUUUCAUUUUUUUAAAAAUGUUAUUGAAGGAGUUCCCAC